rnacentral:rRNA from 1 species
CGGCAGCGGGAAGUAGCUUGCUACUUUUGCCGGCGAGCGGCGGACGGGUGAGUAAUGCCUGGGAAAUUGCCCAGUCGAGGGGGAUAACAGUUGGAAACGACUGCUAAUACCGCAUACGCCCUACGGGGGAAAGCAGGGGACCUUCGGGCCUUGCGCGAUUGGAUAUGCCCAGGUGGGAUUAGCUAGUUGGUGAGGUAACGGCUCACCAAGGCGACGAUCCCUAGCUGGUCUGAGAGGAUGAUCAGCCACACUGGAACUGAGACACGGUCCAGACUCCUACGGGAGGCAGCAGUGGGGAAUAUUGCACAAUGGGGGAAACCCUGAUGCAGCCAUGCCGCGUGUGUGAAGAAGGCCUUCGGGUUGUAAAGCACUUUCAGCGAGGAGGAAAGGUUGAUGCCUAAUACGUAUCAACUGUGACGUUACUCGCAGAAGAAUCACCGGCUAACUCCGUGCCAGCAGCCGCGGUAAUACUGAGGGUGCUCGCGUUAAUCGGAAUUACUGCGCGUUAGCGCACGCAGGCUGUUGGAUCAGUUAGAUGUGAACGCACCGGGCUCACCCUGCGAAUUG